rnacentral:snRNA from 1 species
AUAUUAAAAGGUUAACAGACAAGUGAUAAUGUGCAGCAUCUGUCCUUAUAAGAGUUUAAAAUCUGAUAUGCUGCCUAUCUGGGCACCGAAUUUUAAAUUGAUUUUUGGAAACAGGAGGUGGCAUAGCGGCUUGCUCCGUCCACUCCACACAUCGACUUGUAUCUGUGUCUACUGC